GCCGAACCGUGCGAACGUUGUUCGGAAUCACUGGGCUUAAAGGGCGCGUAGGCGGCUUGCCAAGUCAGUGGUGAAAUCCCACAGCUUAACUGUGGAAGUGCCUUUGAUACUGGCGAGCUCGAGGGAGGUAGGGGUAUGUGGAACUUCUGGUGGAGCGGUGAAAUGCGUUGAUAUCAGAAGGAACGCCGGUGGCGAAAGCGACGUACUGGACCUCUUCUGACGCUGAGGCGCGAAAGCUAGGGGAGCAAACGGG
rnacentral:rRNA from 1 species